rnacentral:rRNA from 1 species
AGAAAGGGGGCAACCCCGAGUAAAGUGGCGCACGGGUGCGUAACACGUAGGCAAUCUACUCUCGGGAGGGGGAUAACUAUCCGAAAGGAUAGCUAAUACCGCAUAAGACCACGGCUUCCCCGGAAGCUGCGGUCAAAGGUGGCCUCUACUUGUAAGCUAUCACCUGAGAAUGAGCCUGCGGCCCAUCAGCUAGUUGGUAGGGUAACGGCCUACCAAGGCUACGACGGGUAGCUGGUCUGAGAGGAUGAUCAGCCACACUGGCACUGAAACACGGGCCAGACUCCUACGGGAGGCAGCAGCGGGGAAUAUUGGACAAUGGACGCAAGUCUGAUCCAGCGACGCCGCGUGGGUGAUGAAGGCCUUCGGGUUGUAAAGCCCUGUGGGCAGGGAAGAAAACGGUUAGGAAUAAUAAGACUAGCCCUUGACGGUACCUGCUCAGAAAGCACCGGCUAACUCUGUGCCAGCAGCCGCGGUAAGACAGAGGGUGCAAACGUUGCUCGGAAUUACUGGGCGUAAAGCGCGUGUAGGUGGAUUGGUGUGUCAGAUGUGAAAUCCCUGGGCUCAACCCAGGAACUGCACCUGAAACUACCAGUCUUGAGUGGUGGAGAGGGAAGUGGAAUUCCUGGUGUAAAGGUGAAAAUUCGUAGAUAUCAGGAGGAACACCAGUGGCGAAGG